AUGAACGCUGGCGGCGUGCCUAAUACAUGCAAGUCGAGCGAACAGACGAGGAGCUUGCUCCUCUGACGUUAGCGGCGGACGGGUGAGUAACACGUGGAAAACCUACCUAUAAGACUGGGAUAACUUCGGGAAACCGGAGCUAAUACCGGAUAAUAUAUUGAACCGCAUGGUUCAAUAGUGAAAGACGGUUUUGCUGUCACUUAUAGAUGGAUCCGCGCCGCAUUAGCUAGUUGGUAAGGUAACGGCUUACCAAGGCAACGAUGCGUAGCCGACCUGAGAGGGUGAUCGGCCACACUGGAACUGAGACACGGUCCAGACUCCUACGGGAGGCAGCAGUAGGGAAUCUUCCGCAAUGGGCGAAAGCCUGACGGAGCAACGCCGCGUGAGUGAUGAAGGUCUUCGGAUCGUAAAACUCUGUUAUUAGGGAAGAACAAAUGUGUAAGUAACUAUGCACGUCUUGACGGUACCUAAUCAGAAAGCCACGGCUAACUACGUG
rnacentral:rRNA from 1 species